AUUGAACGCUGGCGGCAGGCCUAACACAUGCAAGUCGAGCGGCAGCGGAAGGAAGCUUGCUUCCUUGCCGGCGAGCGGCGGACGGGUGAGUAAGGUAUGGGGAUCUGGCCGAAGGCGGGGGAUAACCACUGGAAACGGUGGCUAAUACCGCAUAAUCUCUAAGGAGCAAAGUGGGGGACCGUUCAGGCCUCACACCUUCGGAUGAACCCAUAUGUAAUUAGCUAGUAGGUGGGGUAAUGGCUCACCUAGGCGACGAUCUCUAGCUGGUCUGAGAGGAUGAUCAGCCACACUGGGACUGAGACACGGCCCAGACUCCUGCGGGAGGCAGCAGUGGGGAAUAUUGCACAAUGGGCGCAAGCCUGAUGCAGCCAUGCCGCGUGUAUGAAGAAGGCCUUCGGGUUGUAAAGUACUUUCAGUCGUGAGGAAGGUGUUAAGGUUAAUAACCUUAGCAAUUGACGUUAGCGACAGAAGAAGCACCGGCUAACUCCGUGCCAGCCGCCGCAGUAA
rnacentral:rRNA from 1 species